rnacentral:rRNA from 1 species
GACGAACGCUGGCGGCGUGCCUAAUACAUGCAAGUCGAACGCUGAAGGAGGAGCUUGCUCUUCUUGGAUGAGUUGCGAACGGGUGAGUAACGCGUAGGUAACCUGCCUGGUAGCGGGGGAUAACUAUUGGAAACGAUAGCUAAUACCGCAUAAUAGUAGAUGUUGCAUGACAUUUGCUUAAAAGGUGCAAUUGCAUCACUACCAGAUGGACCUGCGUUGUAUUAGCUAGUUGGUGAGGUAACGGCUCACCAAGGCAACGAUACAUAGCCGACCUGAGAGGGUGGUCGGCCACACUGGGACUGAGACACGGCCCAGACUCCUACGGGAGGCAGCAGUAGGGAAUCUUCGGCAAUGGACGGAAGUCUGACCGAGCAACGCCGCGUGAGUGAAGAAGGGUUUCGGAUCGUAAAGCUCUGUUGUAAGAGAAGAACGAGUGUGAGAGUGGAAAGUUCACACUGUGACGGUAUCUUACCAGAAAGGGACGGCUAACUACGUG